ensembl:lncRNA
GGCCUGUAUGCGAGCCGAGCCUGCGAGAAGCUCUCUGAUUGGACAGUGCGUAUAACCAUCCAAUCGGAUCUCAGGAGGCGGAAACCUCUCAGCCAAUGGAGGCGCAAGGGAGGCGGGCUAUUUGUUGGAAUACAGAAUUAAAGGCAGAGUGAAUUCUCUAACGUUUACUCUGAACGCUUCCGUUUUGGACACUCCCUGUUUACAGCUGGAUAUUUCCACGUUUUUGUGAUAUUUCUGGAUUAUAUCUCGAUAUGUUUCCGACUUGAUCGUGUUCGUGAACCGCACGAGGCUCGAAGCUAAACCUAGCAAUCUGUCCUUUUGCACUUUAUUGGCGUGGCUUAGCUUGUUAGCAUCGUCGGAGGUUUAAAUGUCAAGAGACGCGCUUCGUCCCGCUGUUUAUUUCUCUUCUUUUUAAAUAUUGAAUAAAUAUCGCUUUUACCCAUUAUUAUUAUUAUUAUUAUUAUUAUUAUUAUUAUUAUUAUUAUACAACAGUGAUUAUCAGAAUACUCAUUAACUUACUGCUGUUUGUUUUUCCUUUUCUCCUCCUUAUUAUUAUUGUUGUUAUUAUUAUUUCGCACAGGACAUAAAUAUAUAAAUAGCUGAUGACCAACUAACUCUACUUGAAUAUUUUUUCCCUGCUUAUUUACAUUCAUAUCAGUGUAAAUUCGCAUGCAUUCAUUAUUUUCCGUCAUUAAGACCUUCUUGGAGGAUAUAUUUCAUCAGGAAAUCGAUGCACUUGUUUAUUUUUGCUGCUGUUAUUAAGUGUUAUUUCUCAUUAAGACCUCUUACAAAGUGAAGCUGCUUUUUUUAAAUGUCAUUUUUUAAACAACAGAAUUCUCUGAAUUUUCAAUUCAGUCGCCUACUUUUCUGAACCGCUCGGAAUCUCAUGUUAAGCAAUUUUAAACGACAAACGAAUAAGUAAAUAAAUAAAAAAAUCGCUUUCCUUCCUGCACCGUUUCCUCGUGACGCCGCUGCGCACGUGCUGUAAAAAAGACUAAAAAUAAUAACAUGUCAGAUUUGGAUGUGAAAUGAUGUGAGCCGAGCUGAGCUCUGAGUUCCUUACAGAGGAUCCAGUUAUUCAUCACGAGCCGUCGUUGACUUUCAGCGCGUCGAUUCUGAGUGGCUUUAGAAGUAUUUACGCCCUCAGAUUGAAAGGUUAAGUGGCUGUUUGUGAAUCUCUGAAAGAGAGACACAACGCUCGCACACAGCUGUCUGCUCUUCAAUGUUUAAUACAGAAAAAAAAAAAGAAAUCUGACUUUUUGAAAAUGUUGCAGUUUGUUAUUUAUUCUGUAAAUUUACUAAGCAGCAGGUCGUCUGUGUUUAGAGGUAGGACGAUGUAUCGCUUGAUAUAAUGUAUGACGAUGAGACAAUCUGUAAUGAACAUGAAUAAACAUUAUUAACUUUAUUCUGUAGUGGAAUAGUAGAGACUUGGAGACAGUAGAGAUAUAUAACAAAUAUCCAAUCGCAGUACGAAGACAUUUCAGCGAUAUAUUUAUCACAAUAUUUUGUUUUGCUAACAAAGUACUUGCAAAACUGAAUGUUACUUUUAUUAACAUCUAUAAAAAGAAAUCAUUUAACACAUUACUAAACAUUCUGUAUAAAUAAGCAUUAUAAAAAUAUGGACCAUGUCAGCUGUAUCUCAGAAAAGUGUCCUGUUUCAUAAUGUUUCACGAUAUGGAUAUUGUCUCAUCAUGUCGCCCAGUACUAUGGCAUAAUUAAUGAUAUUAGUUGAUUACCCAAUAUAUCACAAUGUUCAGUAUUAUCAUCGAGUCAGUGUGGCGGAUAUGACGAUAUGAUAUUAAUAUUGCACUGAUAUUGUGAUGUUUUAAUAUAAUGAGGAUUGAGGGUGUGGUCAGGAUGUUGCUCAGUGAUUGUACGUUUUGUAAAAUCUGGUUUUAUACCAGUUAUUCGAAUUUUUCUUCCACUCUUUGUUACGUACUUGAACAUGAAGUUUUUUAAUCAUGCAUUACUUUUGUUUGUUUCCGUUUCAUCAAAAAUAUUUUGCUAUCACUGGUCAAGUAUCAUUAAGAUGCUUUAAAAUACCGAUCCAGCAGGUUUAAUAACAAUCUGUCCGUUAAAGCUUCUUAUUUUUAGAUAGCAAGAUGCAUGCUGUUUCUAACUAAGAGAAAUCCAUCCCAUAAUGCUUAUCACCUAACUAGAUUUCUCGUAUAUCCCUUAUCUCGUAUGUCGUAAAGCUUAAUAAAACUUUACAUGAUUGUCGUGGUUAUAAAAACAGUAUGUGGUACGUGACGUGAAGUUGAAUGGUGGGUUGUUCCCGAGUAGCUAAGCUGGAUAAAUGAACUUGAUGCGUCUGGCUGUUCUGCUCCAUCUGCUUGGAAAUCAAGGUCAAAGGUGACAAGGUCGUGACCCCAGGCGUGUGAAACUCUCGCUCUGUCUGUUCAAAAGGUUAAAAAAAAAAAAAAAAAGAAGUCUUGAGUGCUGCUGAGUAUAGAUUUACUGAAUCAGGCGGACAAUUCACACAAAAACCUUCUUAGAAGUGGAGCAGGUGGUGUGUGUGUGUGUGUGUGUGUGUGUGUGUGUGUGUGUGUGAUUUCAGCUGAACAUUCCUGAACACCAACUCACUCAGUCAGACCUCUCAAAAAGCAGGCAGGUGCUUCACUCAUUUAAAUACAUAAUUGAAUAGUAAUGAGCGCAUUAUGAAUAUUUAUUAAUUAAAUACCGAGCGAUGGAGCCAAGUUACCAUGACCACUCCGAAGUUGAAUAGUUUCAUGUAACAGCACAUCCCUAAAUGAUUGUCUUCUUACAUCACAAAGAUUUACCAACGAUUGCCAUUUUUAUCCAUUAAUAAUUGCAUUUAAUAUCCGUGAAAGGAGUUAGUUCCUGUUGUCACUUGCGUUAUAGCAGUUAUAAACAGUCGUUCCCUCAGCAGCUUUCCUUUUUUUAUUCUCUCUCUCAUUUGAAGACGCUGAUAUGAGAAUUAAUCAACACCUUCUGACCAAUCUGGAUGCAGGAAUGUGAGAUUAAAAUAGAAUAUAUUAAUAAGAUCCUGCAUAAUGCAAGUUAAUUUAUUUUCUGUUAUUACUGGCUCAGAGCGUGAGGUUUAACUCAACGCUGAAUCACACACUGAUGUAAGAGAGUGAAAAGAGAGAGCGUGUGUGUGUGUGUGUGUGUGUGUGUUGGCACAAACCCCAGAAAAGGUCGUUGAGCUCCAUCAGGAAGCGUAUUUUUCUUCCUAUCUUGGAAGACUAAGCAAACAAUGGAUCAAAAACACGAUUAAAGCGUUUUUAAAAAAGUUUGCAUUCGUGUUACGUUUAACGUUAUUAAAGAGCAACUAUGUUUUUGUUGCCCCGCCCCGUUUGCUUAAACUCCACAGUAGACACUGUGACAUCACUGACGGGUUUUAUCUCUUAAAGUGACCGUGCUGUGAAAUAAAAUACCCACAGUUUCCACCUUUCUCCCUAUCCUGUUCUUUCCUUUUUAUUAUUUUUUUUUUAUUUUUAUUUCUGUUCCUGUCAUGUGAUGAAACUCUAAACUCUUAUUUAUCAGGCUGAAGUAUUCGGGGUGUUGGAGUAGUGCGACGUUCCUGUGGGAAAUAAACGAUAAGCGUUGUGAGGAAGAGGUUCUGCUCUGCUCUCACACGCCACUCCUCCAGGUGCUCAUCGGAUAUUUUUUUUUCUCUUGCUUUCACACUUUCACAUUUCUUUCUUAAACACCAGCGCAGGCUUUACAUGUCGUUUUAUUUCUACAGGAAGUGAGUACAUGAAAGCAAAACGCUGCAUUUUUGGUCAUAGUGUUCAAAUUUUCAGAAAAGUGACAAGUGAGAUCAAGUGCAUAUUUUACCUCCUGACCAAUCACAUCUGUUCUGAUUGGCCGAGAGCAGUACGGUGUGUUCUGGUUGGCCGAGAGCAAUGCGGUGUGUUCUGGUUGGCCGAGAGCAAUGCGGUGUGUUCUGAUUGGCCGAGAGCAAUGCGGUGUGUUCUGAUUGGCCGAGAGCAAUGCGGUGUGUUCUGAUUGGCCGAGAGCAGUGCAGUGUUUUCUGAUUGGCCGAGAGCAGAGCGGUGUGUUCUGAUUGGCCAAGAGCAGUGCGGUGUGUUUUGUUAGGCUGAGACCAGUGCAGUGGGUUCUGAUUGUCUGAGAGCAGUAUGGUGUGUUCUGAUUGGCCAAGUGCAGUGUGUUUUGAUAGGCUGAGAGCAAUGCGGUGUCUUCUGAUUGGCUGAGAUCAGUAUAAAGGUGGAAGGAUCACUGGAGUUCUGAUUUUUAAAGUUAAUUAUUUAUUUUUUUACAUCGCUGAUGUCACAAGGUGUGUUCUCUGUGUUAUGAUUUCACUAAAGCUUCUAAGAUGUACAUAAAAUUAAAUAAACCUUCUUCUACAUGCUGUAUUUAACUAUUUUACUUCAGCUACUUCCUAUUUUCCAACUGCUACACAAAGCCAUAUGCUUUAAUUAAACCACUAACACUGUCAUGUAUGAUUUAUUAUGUGAGAAAACGUCCGGUCAGGGUUUUUAUCCUCCUCCUACAGUACAACCACCAUGCAUAUUCAUCAGGUUAUGCAAAUGAUAUGCUAAUUGGCUGCAUGUGCGGCAUUUACAUCGGUUUGUUGAUGUCUAUAGGUUGCUGAAGAGAAAAACAAGAUAAAAGGCGAGAAUAUUGAGAAUAUCACACGUAACAUAUUGGCUGUAACUGCUUUAUGCUAAUAAGUACUGAUGUAUAUGUUAAUUAAUUAGCAUAUGGUCAGCGAGGUGUCACUCCUAUGCUCAGAUUUCCAGCUCUGGAGCAUGCGCUGGAUCCUGAGCGACCCUGCAGCGGAUUACGUGUAUUUAUAGCCGCGCUGCUAAUCCAAACACUACACACAGAGAGACGGUGAUUAAUGAUAAAAUUGAUGAACAUCCUGAUUAAUGAGCGCCAUAACAAAUCCACCACUCACAUACACUCUCACUCACACAGACGUGCGCUGUUCACAAUUAAUUUCUCAAGUAUUUAUAAAUGUCUUGAUACAAAAGAAGGUACUUCCUCUUCAGGCGGAUUAGCUCGCUAAUUAGGUCGCUAACAACAAGAGGCGGAACUGCAAGGUGUUGACGCACGUAAUUGGAUGUGAAAUUACUAAAUUAAUCCGAUACAGAGGCUCCGUUUGUGCGCUACGGGUUCUUAACGUCUGUGUGUGUGUGUGUGUGUGUGUUCUCAACAAGCGUAAAAUUAAAUCGGUCUGUCGAAGGAAACGUGAGAAAGUAACACAAACGUGAAUGUUUUUAGUUUACUCCUCACCGGAGCUAUGAUGUUGCUAGCAAACAAUGGAAUAGACCUAAUCUGAGAGACCAUUCUAGAUGUAGUGUGUGUGUGUGGGUAUGUGUGUGUGUGUGUUUUGGAGCAAUCGCUCCUCUGUCUGCAUUUUGUGUGUGUGUGUGUGUGUGUGUUUUGGAGCAGUCGCUCCUCUGUCUGCAUUUUGUGUGUAUGUGAGUGUGUAUGUGUGUGUGCAUGUGUGUAUUUGUACACGUUGUUUGUUAAUGGAGGUUACAGGAGUUAAUUCCCAGCUCCUUCUGUUCAUCUAAAUGCAUGAGACAGCCAGAAUCAAUUACAGAGAGCAGAUGAGAAAAUGCAGGAGAAAGAAAAUACACACACACACAGCCCUGGCAGCAUGAGAGCUGUGUGUUUUAUAAUCUUGGUAUAAAAAUAAUUUUGAAGUCUUUUCCUGAUGACUCAUAACUCAUUGCUGGAGCUUGUUUCCAUGGUAACGUUUCCAGAGGUUGUUCCCGUGGUUACUUUUAACUAGAAGUUGUUUUCAUGGUUGCUUUCAGGUAAAAGUCAUACAUAGAUGGUAGAAGGAAUUUAUUGGUUUUUAUUUUUUAGCUGGACGUUGUUUCCCAUUGAUACUCGUAGCAGAAACUUGUUCCCAUGGUUCCGUUCGACUAGAAGUCGGUUUCUUGGUUAUUCAGUCCCUCCAGGAUGUUGCAAUUUGGUGUUCACAGAAAUGAAAGCAAAAUCAUUCUCAGAGGAGCUUGAAAUUUUUUUUUUUUUCAAAAUUACUGCAGAUUUUCCAUAGAUUUGGGUCCAGAUGCGUCAUGUGACGUCAUCACAACGUGCAUUCAGCCAAAGCCCUCUAUGAUUCAUGUGCGUCAAGCGUGAGUGCAGUUAAAAGGUCUCGUUUACCACCAAACAUCACUGUGAAAGAGCGUGCUAAACUACUUCCUGCAAUUGCGAUUUCACCUUUUUUUCAAAAACAAAAACUCUGCAAGUUGUAUCACAGAUUUUGAAAAAAGCAGCAGCAAAAUCAAGCGUUUUUGGGCGCAACAAUCGCAACUCUGUGAAAUUCUGUACAGACUGAUUAUUUUAGCUAAAAGCUGUUCCUGUAGUUACUUUUAGGCUUUAUAUCCCUCCUUAUAGCUCAUUUUGGUAAAUGUUAUUUUAAGUCAGAAUGUUCCUGUGGUUGCUUGUAGAUGCUUUAAGCUAAAAUUCGUUCCCAUGGUUACGUUCAACUAGAAAUCUUUUUUUUUUAUUGCUUUUAGCUAAUAAUCGUUCUCAUUGGUACUUUCAGUUGAUGGUUGUUUUCGUG